rnacentral:lncRNA from 1 species
GGUUGGUCAGACAUGAGAUGUACUGAUCCAAACCAUAUUAGUCAUUACAUUAGAUGUAUGUGACUAAUUAGAAGAGACCUAAACCUAAAUCUCCUCACUAAAUAUUAAGUCUAUCGAUCUUUCACUGUUGCAGAGAUGUGGGUACCUUUUUCGACAUUGAUCAUUUUCGUCUGGUUAUAGUGGUUCGAUUACAUCGAAAAGACACAACCACUCUAUUAGCAUUAAAUGCUUCGAGGUAAAGUGAGGUUGGGUCCAAUAACUGUUAGAUGAGAGAUCCAAUGAUGGUUUUGUACUUACUGAUGAAUAG